GAUGAACGCUGGCGGCGUGCCUAAUACAUGCAAGUCGAGCGAACGGACGAGAAGCUUGCUUCUCUGAUGUUAGCGGCAGACGGGUGAGUAACACGUGGAUAACCUACCUAUAAGACUGGGAUAACUUCGGGAAACCGGAGCUAAUACCGGAUAAUAUUUUGAACCGCAUGGUUCAAAAGUGAAAGACGGUCUUGCUGUCACUUAUAGAUGGAUCCGCGCUGCAUUAGCUAGUUGGUAAGGUAACGGCUUACCAAGGCAACGAUGCAUAGCCGACCUGAGAGCGUGAUCGGCCACACUGGAACUGAGACACGGUCCAGACUCCUGCGGGAGGCAGCAGUAGGGAAUCUUCCGCAAUGGGCGAAAGCCUGACGGAGCAACGCCGCGUGAGUGAUGAAGGUCUUCGGAUCGUAAAACUCUGUUAUUAGGGAAGAACAUAUGUGUAAGUAACUGUGCACAUCUUGACGGUACCUAAUCAGAAAGCCACGGCUAACUACGUG
rnacentral:rRNA from 1 species